AUUGAACGCUGGCGGCAGGCCUAACACAUGCAAGUCGAACGGUAACAGGAAGCAGCUUGCUGCUUCGCUGACGAGUGGCGGACGGGUGAGCAAUGUCUGGGAAACUGCCUGAUGGAGGGGGAUAACUACUGGAAACGGUAGCUAAUACCGCAUAACGUCGCAAGACCAAAGAGGGGGACCUUCGGGCCUCUUGCCAUCGGAUGUGCCCAGAUGGGAUUAGCUAGUAGGUGGGGUAACGGCUCACCUAGGCGACGAUCCCUAGCUGGUCUGAGAGGAUGACCAGCCACACUGGAACUGAGACACGGUCCAGACUCCUACGGGAGGCAGCAGUGGGGAAUAUUGCACAAUGGGCGCAAGCCUGAUGCAGCCAUGCCGCGUGUAUGAAGAAGGCCUUCGGGUUGUAAAGUACUUUCAGCGGGGAGGAAGGGAGUAAAGUUAAUACCUUUGCUCAUUGACGUUACCCGCAGAAGAAGCACCGGCUAACUCCGUGCCAGCAGCCGCCGUAAGAC
rnacentral:rRNA from 1 species